rnacentral:snRNA from 1 species
AGGCACGUGUCGUUGGCU